UACGGAGGGAGCUAGCGUUGUUCGGAAUUACUGGGCGUAAAGCGCACGUAGGCGGCUUGGUAUGUCGGGUGUGAAAUCCCCGGGCUCAACCUGGGAACUGCAUCCGAAACUGCCUUGCUAGAGUAUGGGAGAGGGAAGUGGAAUUUCCGGUGUAGCGGUGAAAUGCGUAGAUAUCGGAAGGAACAUCAGUGGCGAAGGCGACUUCCUGGACCAAUACUGACGCUCAGGUGCGAAAGCGUGAGGAGCAAACAGG
rnacentral:rRNA from 1 species